UACGUAGGGUGCGAGCGUUAAUCGGAAUUACUGGGCGUAAAGAGUGCGUAGGCGGUUCUUUAAGUCCGCUGUGAAAGCCCCGGGCUUAACCUGGGAAUGGCAGUGGAAACUGGAGGACUUGAAUUGAGCAGAGGGGGGUGGAAUGCCGCGUGUAGCAGUGAAAUGCGUAGAGAUGCGGCGGAACACCGAUGGCGAAGGCAGCCCCCUGGGCUUAAAUUGACGCUGAGGCACGAAAGCGUGGGGAGCAAACAGG
rnacentral:rRNA from 1 species